UGAAGGUGGGAUAACUGUAAAUGCAAGUGGAUAGUAUUGGCUAAUUCAGAAUUUCAACGAAUGAGAUUAUUCUUUCUCUAUGACAAUCAAAAACUCACCUGUCCAAUUAUCAACGUUUGAAGUUGUCUAUCAAGUGUAAUUUUAACCAGUCGAUUCACAGUUCGUGAUCCCUACCUCUUUGAGGUUCCACCUUAUAGAGUUUCCUCUUAAAUAACCUGCUGCAAGCGACGAAACUCCAUUAAACGAAAGGAGAAAAAAAAAGAAGCUGCGGCGAUGAAACUCCAUUAGACAAAAGAAGAAGAAGCGACGAAACUAAUUGCUCGUAUUUUUGACAAUGGAAGACCUAGGACAUCCCCGCUGGUUCAGUAGACAGUGGAAUAGACAUGUUGAUGGUAUUUGAAUAUGAACUGAGAGCAGGCUGGCUGUGUGGCUGAAGUAGGGCAGCUGACUCGAGAACAAGGGGCUCAGGUUUAUGAGGCUGCAGAGAUCAGCAGGACUCAACAUGGAAAACUGUUAGAGUUCAUCAUAAAGGGCCAUGGAGCAGAUGAUCACUUGCUGGCUGUUGUAUCUGAAAAUGUGUCAUCCAGAUGGUUUAAAAACAAUGAAGAUCCUAAAGGUCACCGGGUAAUGACCUCUAUACAGUAGAAGAUGAGGAGCUGACAGAUGGCCUCUACAACUACCUGAUGAAGUGCUGUCAAGAGCUGUAGGUACUUAUGAAAAGAUCAACAGAGUUCACAUCAUUCUGGAUGUGCUUGUUUGGCUUUAGUGAGUCUCUAAUGAGUACAGAAAGUGUCUCUAUGUGUAACGUCCUCUCUGUUUCUGUGUUUGUGAUCGGCUCUUAUUAAAGCUCGAGGAACAGUUGAGAGGAUUUCUCUAGCAGAGGCAGAAGGUCUUGUUCAUUGAUGGACCAGCAGACAGUGAGUGGAACGUCAUGUGGUGUUGGGGAGCAGACAGUCCUUUCUUUUUCUUUUCAGCACCAUUAUUCUGUUAAACAGAAUACCAUUUUACUUGUAGUGAAUUUAGACAAGAAUAUAAACUAAAUACAUAUAAAUGUAAAUAUAUGUUUAAAGUGAAAUUUAAAAUAUGCAUUAAUACCCAUUUAGUAUUGGUAAAAGUACUUUUUUUUUUUUUUUUUAAAGUGAGCGAAGAGUUUGACAAACUUGAGCUUCAACUGUUGGAGUACCAAAGACAGACAGCAUCACUGAGGCAUUUAAACUUGGGAUUCCAUAUUAACGCCUCCUCUAAUAAACGUGUCACUUGCUUUAUUUGUCUUUGGCCUUUUUUGUUUCUGAGUGUUAAACUGACUGUGCAUAAUAGAAUUGUGUAUAUUUGAUUUAACUAUUGAUGUAACUAAUAAAGGACACUUUGUUGAUUAA